GAUCAAGCUAAAAAGAGCACAGGGCGAAUGCCUUGGCAUCAAGAACCGAUGAAGGACGUGUCAAGCUGCGAUAAGCUGCGGGUAGCUGCAAGCAAGCAUUAAACCGCAGAUUUCCGAAUGAGGGAACUCAGCAUCUUUAACAGGAUGUUACCAUAUACUGAAUUCAUAGGUAUAUGGGGGGAACCCGGUGAACUGAAACAUCUAAGUAGCCGGAGGAAAAGAAAGCAAAAGCGAUUCUCCUAGUAGCGGCGAGCGAACGGGGAAGAGGCCAAACCGGAAGUCUUCGGACGGCCGGGGUUGUGGACCAUCAUACGUGAUCACAUAAGCAUAGCUGAAUAGUUUUGGAAAAUCCAGCCAAAGAACGUAAAAGCCGUGUAAGCGAAAUGCGAGUGUGCACAGAUGGCACCAGAGUACCACGGGGCACGUGAAACCCAGUGGGAAGCCGGGAGGACCACCUUCCAAGCCUAAAUAUUCCUUGAUGACCGAUAGCGAAAUAGUACCGUGAGGGAAAGGUGAAAAGUACCCCGGGAGGGGAGUGAAAGAGUACCUGAAACCCUGUGCUUACAAGCAGUGGAAGGACUAUUAGAAAGUCUGACCAUGUACUUUUUGUAGAACGGGCCAGCGAGUUAUGGUAUGUAGCGAGGUUAAGUGCUUCAGGCACGGAGCCGCAGGGAAACCGAGUCUUAAUAGGGCGAAUGAGUUGCAUGCUGUAGACCCGAAACCGGGCGACCUAUCCAUGGGCAGGUUGAAGCGACGGUAAGACGUCGUGGAGGACCGAACCACACGUAUGUUGAAAAAUGCGGGGAUGACCUGUGGAUAGCGGAGAAAUUCCAAUCGAGCUCGGAGAUAGCUGGUUCUCCUCGAAAUAGCUUUAGGGCUAGCGUCAGGUGAAGAUAUAUGGGGGUAGAGCACUGAAUGGGCUAGGGGGCUUCACGGCUUACCGAACCUUAUCAAACUCCGAAUACCAUAUAUUACCUACCUGGCAGUCAGACAGUGGGAGAUAAGUUUCAUUGUCAAAAGGGAAAGAGCCCAGAUCAUCAACUAAGGCCCCCAAGUGCAAGUUAAGUGGGAAAGGAUGUGGGACUGCGAAGACAACUAGGAUGUUGGCUCAGAAGCAGCCAUUCAUUUAAAGAGUGCGUAACAGCUCACUAGUCGAGUGGUCGUGCGCCGAAAAUGUCCGGGGCUAAAACUUGCCGCCGAAGUUAUGGGUGUAUCGUGAAUUACUGAUGUAUUUCCAAAAGACGCAACAAGCAAAACAGCAAAACCGCAGCAAUGAUAGAACAUGCCAAAAGGCAGGUAAAGGCUGUAGUAUUCCCUGGGGUCAAUGAAUCCCUGGCGGGCUGGAACUCUCAAAAACGCGGUAGGCCUGCGAAGCAGGCAGCGCGUAGCGGGAAUUGCGAAACCCGAUGGGAGGAUAUUUGCAAGCAAACCAACCAAAGCACAUAUCAAUUGUAUGGUUUGCGUCCAAAUCUUUAGGAUAAAACUUGGAGCGUCAAGAGUAAGGGAGAUAUAUGAGUAAUUCACGAUACGCGGUAGAGGAGCGUCGCAACAGGGCUGAAGCCAUACCGUGAGGAGUGGUGGACUGGUUGCGAGUGAGAAUGCUGGCAUGAGUAGCGAGAGUGAUGUGAGAAUCAUCACCGUCGAAAGUCUAAGGUUUCCUGGGGAAGGCUCGUCCUCCCAGGGUAAGUCGGGACCUAAGCCGAGGACCGUAUAAGUCGUAGGCGAUGGACAACAGGUUGAUAUUCCUGUACCACCGAUGAUGCGUUUGACUGAUGCAGUGACACAGGAGGAUAGUGAGAGCGGGUUGAUGGUAGAGCCCGUCCAAGCACUAAGGCUUGAGUGGUAGUGAAGUACGCCGCUCUUUAAGGCUGAGGUGUGAUGGGGACAGAAAAUAAGUAUGGAAGCUCACGAAUCCACACUGGCGAGAAAAGCUGCUAGGAAGUGUCAUAGGUGCCCGUACCGCAAACCGACACAGGUAGACGAGGAGAGAAUCCUAAGACGAUCGGGAGAAACAUUGUUAAGGAACUCGGCAAAAUGACUCCGUAACUUCGGGAGAAGGAGUGCCAGCUUCGGCUGGCCGCAGCGAAUAGGCCCAAGCGACUGUUUAGCAAAAACACAGGUCUGUGCUAAAUCGAGAGAUGAAGUAUACGGGCUGACGCCUGCCCAGUGCUGGAAGGUUAAGGGGAACUGUUAGCUUUAAGCGAAGCAGAGAACUUAAGCCCCAGUGAACGGCGGCCGUAACUAUAACGGUCCUAAGGUAGCGAAAUUCCUUGUCAGGUAAGUUCUGACCCGCACGAAUGGCGUAACGAUUUGGGCGCUGUCUCAACAAUGUACCCGGCGAAAUUGUAGUAUGAGUGAAGAUGCUCAUUACCCGCGAUAGGACGGAAAGACCCCGUAGAGCUUUACUGUAACUUGGCAUUGGAUUUCGGUAUUGGAUGUACAGGAUAGGUGGGAGACUUGGAAGCGCAGACGUCAGUAGGCGUGGAGUCAUCCUUGGGAUACCACCCUUCCAAUACUGGGGUUCUAACCAUAGGCCGUUAUCCGGCUAUGGGACAGUACCAGGUGGACAGUUUGACUGGGGCGGUCGCCUCCGAAAGAGUAACGGAGGCGCCCAAAGGUUUCCUCAGAAUGGUCGGAAAUCAUUCAUUAGAGUGCAAAUGCAUAAGGGAGCUUGACUGCGAGAGGGACACCUCGAGCAGGGACGAAAGUCGGGAUUAGUGAUCCGGCGGUAUGAGAGUGGAAUUGCCGUCGCUCAACGGAUAAAAGCUACCUCGGGGAUAACAGGCUUAUCUCCCCCAAGAGUCCACAUCGACGGGGAGGUUUGGCACCUCGAUGUCGGCUCGUCGCAUCCUGGGGCUGAAGCAGGUCCCAAGGGUUUGGCUGUUCGCCAAUUAAAGCGGCACGCGAGCUGGGUUCAGAACGUCGUGAGACAGUUCGGUCCCUAUCCAUCGUGGGCGCAGGAAAUUUGAGAGGAGCUGUCCUUAGUACGAGAGGACCGGGAUGGACGUACCAAUGGUGUACCAGUUGUUCUGCCAAGGGCAUGGCUGGGUAGCUACGUACGGACGGGAUAAGCGCUGAAGGCAUCUAAGCGCGAAGCCCCCCCCAAGAUAAGAUUUCCCAUCCUUUAUGGAGUAAGACCCCUUAGAGAUUAUGAGGUUGAUAGGCCGGAGGUGUAAGUGCAGCAAUGUAUUUAGCUGACCGGUACUAAUAGGUCGAGGGCUUGAUCAA
rnacentral:rRNA from 1 species